rnacentral:rRNA from 1 species
AAUGAACGCUGGCGGCAUGCCUAACACAUGCAAGUCGAACGAGACCUUCGGGGCUAGUGGCGCACGGGUGCGUAACGCGUGGGAACCUGCCCUUGGGUUCGGAAUAACUCGCCGAAAGGCGUGCUAAUACCGUAUGUUGACGUAAGUCCAAAGAUUUAUCGCCCAAGGAUGAGCCCGCGGAGGAUUAGCUAGUGGGUGGGGUAAAGGCCCACCAAGGCGACGAUCCUUAGCUGGUCUGAGAGGAUGAUCAGCCACACUGGGACUGAGACACGGCCCAGACUCCUACGGGAGGCAGCAGUGGGGAAUAUUGGACAAUGGGCGAAAGCCUGAUCCAGCAAUGCCGCGUGAGUGAUGAAGGACUUAGGGUUGUAAAGCUCUUUUACCCGGGAUGAUAAUGACAGUACCGGGAGAAUAAGCCCCGGCUAACUCCGUGCCAGCCGCCGCGGUAAGAC